rnacentral:rRNA from 1 species
AAAUUGACGGGGACCCGCACAAGCGGUGGAUGAUGUGGAUUAAUUCGAUGCAACGCGAAAACCUUACCUACCUUGACAUGUCCGGAAUCCUGCAGAGAUGCGGGAGUGCCCGAAAGGGAAUCGGAACACAGGUGCUACAUGGCUGUCGUCAGCUCGUGUCGUGAGAUGUUGGGUUAAGUCCCGCAACGAGCGCAACCCUUAUCAUUAGUUGCUACGCAAGGGCACUCUAAUGAGACUGCCGGUGACAAACCGGAGGAAGGUGGGGAUGACGUCAAGUCCUCAUGGCCCUUAUGGGUAGGGCUUCACACGUCAUACAAUGGUCGGUACAGAGGGUUGCCAAGCCGCGAGGUGGAGCCAAUCCCAGAAAGCCGAUCGUAGUCCGGAUUGUUCUCUGCAACUCGAGAGCAUGAAGUCGGAAUCGCUAGUAAUCGCGGAUCAGCAUGUCCGCGGUCGAAUACGUUCCCGGGCCUU